GGAGGUUUGCAGCGUGGCAAU
rnacentral:misc_RNA from 1 species